rfam:Brachypodium distachyon strain Bd21 chromosome 1, whole genome shotgun sequence.
AAAGUACUCCCUCCGUCCCAAAAUAAGUGAUGUGGAUUUGUAUAAAUCUAUACAAAUCCACGUCACUUAUUUCGGGACGGAGGGAGUAUUUC